rnacentral:lncRNA from 1 species
GGUGUGUGGGUCUAAAGUUGCUUCCGUCGAGAGGCUAAACUGAGGUGGACCAGUCUUCACUGGUGCCUAGAAAGCACCUUACUGCUUUCCGGAGCACCUCAGAAAGGAAGGCGGGAGAGGGGAGCAUCACUCCUUCUUAGAGUUGUCUCCCCCUUUUGCGAGAUGACCAGCGUGGAAACUCCAAGUACCCGAAGCCCUUGGAAUACUGCCGCAUGGAGCAUAUUCGAGCGUCUUGGACAAGUCCUGGACUUGGGCCACCCGGGUUUGGCAACUUGUUUUGAGCAGCCCUGGAUGGAGCCUGGACCCACCUUUCCCAGAGACUUGUCUCCACCGCUCCGCUUUGAAUUUGUGAACUGGCGAUGAAGCAGAUAGGAGUUUUGUACUGGAGGAUACUUUGGCGGGCUGCCUCCCAUUCGCACUUAAAGGUGGGAGCAAGGGCCCCGCUCUAUUGGCACUUCGAAACCGCACAGACUCUCGGGGGCAGAUGAGCAAUGACUCC